GGGCCUGUAGCUCAGUCGGUUAGAGCAUCUGACUCAUAAUCAGAGGGUCCGCGGUUCGAGUCCGUGCAGGCCCA
rnacentral:tRNA from 1 species